rnacentral:tRNA from 1 species
GUUAAGGUGGCAGAGCCCGGCAUUGCAAAAGUCCUAAACCCUUCCUAUAAAGGUUCAAAUCCUUUCCUUAACU